AAGAAGUUCACUCCAAGGCAUAUCAUAAUUAAAAUGGCAAAAUUUAAAGACAAAGAGAGAAUCUUAAAGGCAGCAAGGAAGAAAGUGCUAGUAACAUAUAAGUGAGCUCCAAUAAAGCUAUCAGUUGAUUUCUCAACAGAAAUACUACAAGCCAGAAGGGAAUGGCAUGAACUAUUCCAAGUAGUGAAAAGCAAAGGCCUGCAAACAAGACUACUCAGCAAGGGUAUUUGAAACUGAAG